rnacentral:lncRNA from 7 species
GGAAUUUAACAACUGUCUUGAGCUGAAAAUCACACAAGGACGUUCACAAUCAGACUUAUUAUGCAUUCAGUAUCCCAUUACUCCAUCUGCUGCUUCCUUGUUCCAUAUCCCAUUAACAAAUGCUAAGCUGCAGAUUGUUUUUCACAUAGUAAUGAGCUGCGCAUCUCAUGAGAGUGUUGCAAGACUCCCAUGUGAUCUCCACCCACCCUUCUGCACUGGACCAGUGUGCCUCAGAGGCAGCAGAUGUCCGUGUUUAUGUAACAGAAUACUGUCCUACACGUGGGAUUCAGGUCAUGCCUACAACUUCUAAAGUGAAAUAAAUAUGCCAUAACUGUAGCCGUAUAAGCUAUACAUGCAGAAAAGUGGAUGUUUAUGACAGAAAAACUAUGAAAUGCUUGAUACAUAUCAAAGGAAGAAACAUCAAUCUCUCCAGGACAUGUUGAUUCAAAUCCUUCAAAUCAUUCAUAGUCAUGAAUGUCAAAUCCAUUUUGGAAACAACUGUGCUUUCGACUAGGCAUAAUCUCUGCACACAGAAAAACUGAAGCUUCCCCACCACCUGACCAGGAGAAGAGGGCGCAUCAACCGCUUCUUGUGAGUGCACUAUAGUUCCUAUGUUUUCAGAUCUGGUACCUGGCAUGCACUCUCUGGAAGAGAAAAUAGAAGAGUAGGUGAAUAAGUAAAUAGCUCUGAUUUAAAAACAAAAUCAUAUCUAUAUUUAAAAAAAAAAUAAAAUCCUACAGGAUCAUUUAUCAUAACAUCUUUUUAACAUAACAUGCAACAAAAUGUUAAUGAAACAGGCAAUGUGGCUUCAUUAUCUCUUUGUUAUUGGCACUGCCACAAAUCGUUUUAACACUCUUCUUUGUGUUCUGUUCUCCACUUAGGAAUUUUUUCCUCUUAUCUUCAGUAAUGUCAGACAAAUAUCAGAAGAUUAUUUGCAUUUAUAAUGCAUUUGCAUUUAUAUGUAUCUCCAUUUUAAUGGAGAUGGAAAAAAAAAACAAACACAAAAGGGCAAAUUUAGGCCAACGUUAAGGGAAGCAUUAAUCCAUUGUUGAUUUCAGAUUAUGAAUUUGAUGUUCAGGAGACAAAUGUUGUCACUGAUCCAGUUUACUGUUAUAUAUGUUGUUUCCCCUUUUUAACCUGAAAAAAAGGAAACAUCUGCUUUUACUGGAAAUGAAAUUAAAAAUCUUCCU